CCUACGGGAGGCAGCAGUGAGGAAUAUUGGUCAAUGGGCGAGAGCCUGAACCAGCCAAGUCGCGUGAGGGACGACGGUCCUAUGGAUUGUAAACCUCUUUUGUCGGGGAACAAAGGCGCCCACGGGUGGGCGGAUGCGUGUACCCGAAGAAAAAGCAUCGGCUAACUCCGUGCCAGCAGCCGCGGUAAUACGGAGGGGGCAAGCGUUAUCCGGAUUUACUGGGUGUAAAGGGAGCGUAGACGGCAGGACAAGUCUGGAGUGAAAUGCCGGGGCUUAACCCCGGAACUGCUUUGGAAACUGUGCAGCUAGAGUGCAGGAGAGGUAGGUGGAAUUCGUGGUGUAGCGGUGAAAUGCGUAGAUAUUAGGAAGAACCCCGGUGGCGAAGGCAGCUGACUGGAGUGUAACUGACGUUGAGGCUCGAAAGCGUGGGGAGCAAACAGGAUUAGAUACCCUUGUAGUC
rnacentral:rRNA from 1 species